ensembl:lincRNA
GACAGGAAACAGAGUUUGCCAUGAGAGCCAGUCUCAUGGCAAGGGAUUUUUGGUAACAUAACAAAGAAUCAGAAACUUCAAUGUACAAAAGAGCUUUUAAUCAAAAUGAAUGGGGACUGAGGUUGGAACUUAGUGGAUAGUGUAAUCAAUUAGAAUGGAAGAAGCCCUGGGUCCAGUUCCCAGUACCACAAAAAAACAGGCAUUGUGGUGGUUUGUAUGUGCUUGGCUCUGGGAGUGGCACUAUCAGAAUGUGUGGCCCUGUGAAAGUAGGUGUGAACUUGUUAGAGCAUGUGUGUCACUGUGGGCAGGGGCUUUAAGACCCUUAUCCUAGCUGCCUGGAAGUAAGUAUUCUGCUAGCAGCCUUCAAAUGAAGAUGGAGAACUCUCAGCUCCUCCUGCACCAUGCUUGUCUGGAUGCUGCCAUGUUCCCACCUUGAUGAAAAUGAUCUGAACCUCUGAAACUGUUCCUCCUCCAGGCCCUUUCAGUCGGAAGUCUGCUUCCUGGGAGCCUGAACCACAGAACUGUGGCUGAAAUCCAGACAGCUGACGUCACCUGUCCAGAUGGCGGAAACCAUUGCUCAACAAAAGGAAAUUGAUGCCAAUUCCUUACUUCUCUGUGACCCUCCCUCUCUUGCCCCCUCCCCUCUCUCUGAGCCCAGAAAAGUGUUUUCCUAGACAGAAGGGAGCUGAGCUGUCUGGGGAAAUAGCUCUGGCCUUGACCUCAUGCCCGCUGCCACGUGUGGCGUUCAAGGCUGGUUACGUCAGCUGACAAAUGUUGCAAGGCUGAGCACUGGAUGCCGAGUCAGAAGAUCAACUGUUAGAAACAAAGGCUGAAUCCCUGUCCUUUGGUUUGGAGAACUGCCCACCCACCUCACUGGAGGUUGAGGCUCUUUCCUUCCUUGAGCCUGCUGUGGGCCUGGCUCACUGGCACUCAGGAACCCACACUUUUCUCACCAGCCUCUGAAUGACAUCUGCUGAUAGGUGUCGGUGUCUCCUUCAAGAGAUGGAAAGGCUGGCAGCACCCAAGACAGACAUUUAAUAGAGACCAUUCCAGGUUGGGAGGCCGAGGCAAGUUCAAGGCCAGCCUGAGCCACGUAGAAAACCUUGUCUCAACCCUUUUUCCUGGCCCCUCAAAAGAUAAAUUAAUCUAGAUACUUAGGAGGCAGAAACAGGCAGAUCUCUUGUGAGUUUAAGGCCAACUGGGUCUACGCAAUUAGUCCCUGUCUCAAAAGAUGGAAGAUGAGAGACAGAAACCUUCCCGGCAUAACCAAUCUGUGGUGAGAGAAGCAGAAGCUGUGGCUGUCUGGUCAGAGGAAGAAAGAGCGCUGCAUAUUGAUCGGAAAGAGGAAGGAGAAAAACCACUGGAUGCUAUCGCAGCAGGAAAAGCCUCACCAGCUGCACACUUAAGAUUCUCUUGCUUUGCUGCGCCUCAGUUAUGUGUCAAUAAAAAAAAAUUAAACAACAAAAGGCAAGUAAAC